rnacentral:rRNA from 1 species
CUGUCUGUUUCUCUCUUCUGUUGCAGCUAUUGCCUGUGGCGGUUUGCGGGAAGAUAACCGUUUCGUCGCAGACGCCCUGUCUGCGUAAUUUCGCCGGCGAAUCUAGCGGUGUGUGAGCGAUGAAUUCUUUGGCUGCUGCGCUAUUUUGAAGACUCAGCCUGAGCCGCGUUCUAUGGGUGGAAUGAUUGAAUACGGCGUUAGUGUCAGUACCAAGUCUUCACCACGCAGUGUGGCCAUUGAAAAAGCUCAGGAGGAGCUCAGGCAGGAGUAUGAUGUCCGUGAAGAACGGAGGAGGGAGCUGGAAUUUCUGGAGAAAGGUGGCAACCCAUUAGAUUUCAAGGUUGACCGUGUAGAAUCAAUAAGUGUGCAGUCCACUUCUCUCACAGCGGAACAAAAUGUGAUAAGCGAAGCUAAAGGCAGCUUUACGUUUGCUGCAUCACCUCGUGGGGAUUCAGUUGAGAGUAGUGGCAAACCAGGAAGUUCACUGUGUCGCGAAACCAACACAGCAGAUAAUCUUAUGCUUUUUGGUGGUAAUAACAAUGGCGUUGUGAAGGAGAAAGUUGUAAAGAGAGGAUCCAGAAGAGCUAAUGUAGCUCAACCCAGACAGUCUUCUGAGGGCCACAACAAUGUAAAAAGAGCUGAUGAUUCUGGUUUGUCACGCCUUGGAGUGAAGAGCCAGGCAUAUGUUCGACGCAACAGGUCAAAGCAAUGUAGGGAGAGUGCUAACGUGACUUCUGUUACAUCUCCUGUACCUGCUACAGCUUCGGAACCAAAAGAUGCAAGGGGUGUGGUCAAGGAAAAACGAGCAGAUGAUCUUGGUGUAUCCUAUGGUUCAAAUUUAAACCAGGCAGGGCCAAAGUGCGACAAUGGGCCGAAUAAAGCUUCUGACAAACAUGUUACAAUUGAGUUGAAUGGGAUUCAAGCCGUCCGCAAAGGCCACCGCAUAGUAAAGAUCGAACCGGUGGAAUAUGACGAAAUGGUGCCCAAUUAUGUGAAUCGCAAUCAGCAGCCUGAUGAACGUGGGAAGAUAGCUGAAGAAGGUGCAUCAAUAGAACCCCCUGAUGCUACUUCAAAAGCCAUUCUAAGGUCAUCUUAUUCUAGCGCAUACACACAUGAUAAAACAGAAACAUGUGCUGCUGCUGAGAAGGUUGGCAAUAAUCACCUGGAUGAAGGUAUGGCCCAAGUCCAUGUAGGUGAACUGGAUAACAGCAGUAUGAUUCCUGUCUCUGUUGUCCAAGCUGCCACUUUGCACAAAAAUGUGACAGAUCCAUGUUGUGAAGACAUUGCCAGUACUAUUGACAAUGGAGCAGAUGAUAAUAAUCCAGUUCCAAUGAAUAUUGAUGGAAAAUCGCAUGAAGACCCGGACAUCAGUGGUAUUUCUAGCAAGGCUGGUGGACAACCGGAAGAUUCUAGCAGGCCUACUUCCAUGAUUGGAAAUUCUAGUCCUGUACCACCUGAAGUUAGUACUCGUGCCCGUGUGAAAGUUGAAAUGGAAACUUUUGAUGAUGCAAUGAUUGUACAGAAGGAUACAAGCUGCUCAUAUCCAGGACAAAUUGUGAACAAUAAUGGAGGUCCAGGUUUGGAGAGGAUUGACAGUUGUCAUGGGGAUUCUAACUCCGCCCGUCCUAUCGUUAUAGGCUCUGCUACUUUGGUUGAUUCUACACCAUCAUUAAAAACUGAUGGGUCGAAGGCGGAGAGUGAGAUUCGAAAAAAUGGAGAGAGCGUCAAUAAGAUGACAGACAAGGAACACGAAGAUUCUAUCCUUCGAGAAGCUCGUCUUAUAGAGGUGAGUCUCAAGAGAGCUUGUGAACGAUCUCCAUGUAAUAUAUCUUUAGAAAGGAGGAGAAAGGGUCACUGGGAUUUUGUCCUCGAGGAGAUGGCUUGGAUGGCCAAUGAUUUCAUGCAGGAACGCCUAUGGAGAAUUACGGCUGCAUCUCAAGUGUGCCAUUGGAUUGCCUCCGAUGGUCUGGCCAAGUUUGACAAAGCAAGCAUUCUUAGAAAGCAGAAAACUGUCAGUAGAAUUCUUGCAAAGGGUGUCAUGAGUUUUUGGCGUUCAGCUGAGGCUGUCCUAACUACUGUUGGAACAGCUAAAGUGAUGCAAAAAAAUAAUUCAAAUAUGCUAGGAGAGACAAAGCCUACUGGAACCAAAGCUGAGAAACAACAGGGCAAUGAAAGCCUGGAAGCGGAACAGUCUAUACAUCCUCUUCGAUCUCAUAUUCAAGAUUAUGCAGUUCGAUUUCUUGAAUAUAGCAAUCAGGCUUCUGAUUCUGCUGUGUUGACUGAAGCACCACCUACACCUGACAGGCCGAAUGACUUCGGCAUCUUGAAAGUGUCUGAUCAAUUUUCACAGGGAAGUCUCUUCUACACAGUACCACCUGGUGCAAUGCUGGCAUACAGGGAGUCCAUGGAAUCUCUUUUCAUGUAUCAUAAGAAAAUUGGCAACGCUGGACUUCGUUAUGAUUAUGAGGCAUCUGCUGCAGGGUGGGCUCAGGAUAAUGUCUACGAGGAUGAAGGCGAGGCUUCUACUUAUUUGUCACAAAAGGGUCACAAGAAGAAACACAGUAUGCAGCAGAGGAUUAAUGGUUCAAGACCAUAUGAAACUGACGUGUCUUAUGAUCCGCGCUUGGAAAGCAAGGCAGGAAACCGGCAGUUUGUUUCAAAUGGCAAAAGACCUUCAUCUUUUGUUGGAGUUCCUACAAAGCGCAUCCGCACAGCCGCCAGACAACGAGUUGUAAGCCCAUUUCCUGCUAGUGCUGGUGGGACUGCCCAAGUCACAAGUAAAACAGAUGUUUCAAGUGGAGACACAAACUCCUACCAAGAUGAUCAAAGUCCAUUACAUGGUGGGUCCUCCGCAUGGAAAAAUAUGGAAUAUGAAUCAACAGGUGAUUUUGACAGACAUGAUGGUAGCGAAGCAUGGACUAAAGCUAACAAGAAGAAGAAACAAAAGAACCCAGGAUACAAGACUGCUCAAAAUACAGCCAAUUCACGUGCCGCUGCUGUAAAGGGACGGGUCUACGAUCAGAGAUCGCAAGUUAAUCAAUAUGAGCAGAAGGAUUAUCUGAAGAAGAGACCAGAGACCCAACAAUUUUAUUCAAAUGGAACAAUUGUUGCAAAUGGUGGUCAACAUGCUUCUAAGAAGCUUAAAACGAUGAAGCAAGGGAUAUAUAUUAAACAAGAACCUUCUCAAGUUCCAUCACAGAUGAGCAAUAUGGCGCCUGCCAAUAAAAUUAUAAAGAUCAUCACUAACAAGGAUCGUGGGAGAAAAGUGAAAGCGCUAAAGAUGUCUUCUGGUGGUGGAUGGUCAAACUUCGAGGAUCAGGCUCUUGUUGUCCUUGUCCAUGACUUGGGUCAAAAUUGGGAAUUAGUAAGCGACGCAAUCAAUAACAUUGUGCAGUUCAAGUCUAUACAUAGACAACCUAAAGAAUGUAAAGAGCGCCAUAGGGUUCUUGUGGAUAAAAGUUCUGGUGAUGGUGCUGACAGUGCAGAAGACUCUGGUUCAUCUCAACAGUAUCAUUUCACCAUACCUGGCAUUCCACAGGGUAGUGCCAGGCAGUUGUUCCAGCGACUUCAAGGACCAUUUGAGGAAGAGAAUCUGAAGUCACAUUUUGAAAAAAUUAUGCUCCUCAUGCCAAAAGUGCUAUCCAGGCGUAGACAGGUUAAUAGCCGGGAGCUGAAGCCGAUCGUACUACCACAUAGUUCUCAUGUUGUUGCACUUACACAAGCAUGCCCGAACAACUUAUCUGGGGGCAUUUUGAUGCCACUUGAUCUUUGUGAUGUAAAUCUGAGCCUCGAUGCAGUCACACCUGGCAGCGGGAACCAGAUUUCUCAUGCAAACGGAAUGACACUGUCAAACCAACAUGGUUCUGCUGGUCCUACUACCACUCCUACUCCCAAUCCAAAUUCGAGGUUACCAGGGUCUCCUGGUAUGGUUCUGGGCAGCAACUUUUCGCCACCUUCAACACUGAGUGCUCCUUCUAGGGAUUCUCAGAAAUAUGGUGUUCCUAGACCAGCCUCUAUACAGGGUGAUGAGCAACAAAAGAUUCAGUAUAAUCAAAUGCUCAGUGGUAGAAAUCUUCAGCAACCUGGAGCUGUUCCUGCAACAAGUCCUUGUGCUCGUAUGAUGCCUGGUGCUCAUGGUGUUGGAAUGAUGACAGGGGUAAAUCGAGGUAUGCCUGCAGUCAGGGCAGGCUUUCCAAGAGCUGGUUCCCCAGGAAUGCUGAAUAUGGCAUCGACAGGAAACAUGCCACUCAAAAGUGUGCAAGGAGUGCCAAAUGCCAUGUCUCCCGCUGGAAAUUCUAUGAUGAGGCCACGCGAUCCUAUGCAGAUGCUUCGUCCUGGUCAGCAGCAGCAUAUGGUGAGGCCGGAGCACCACAUGCAGGUUUCACAGGGAAAUAGUCAAGCUGCCCAUUUCAGCAGCAUGAAUCCAUCAUUCUCCAAGGCUGCAGCUCCUUCACCUCUUCAGCAAACCCAAAGGCCACAUCAGAUGUCACAACCACUGAACAUGUCGGGUAACCCGCAUCUUUCUCAGACCCAAGGAACCAGCCAUCCAAGCCCACAGCAGCAGCCAUAUUCUACUAUGCCUAUGCAGCUGGCUAAGGAAAGACAAUAUCAACACCGUUUGGUGUCUCAACAGCACAACAGCCUUCCUGUAGCAGGCGUGGUACCUGGUGUGCAGAACGGACCGCAGAUUCAGCAGCAGAACCAUGCAUCUCCGGUCACUUCAACCCCUUCUUCGCAACCACUAGUGCAUCAGAAGCAGCAGUCUGCACAAAGCCCAACAGAUAGCUCUGCAAUUGCCAGCCGACCUGCCAAUGCUACAGAACCUAAGCAGAAGAAGCAGCAGGGUCAACAGCAGCCUAGGCAGAAUCAACAACAGAGGAACCAAGCUAGUCAACAAGCUAAGCUUAUGAAGAGUCUAGGACGAGGAAAUAGCACGGUGGCGCCUCAGACUCCUGCAGCUGACGCAACUCCAGCCAGUGCUGUUCCUACAGCUUCCAAGAAACAAGUUCCUGACAGAAAUCUGAUGCAACAUGGGCAAGGACCCUCGGCUGGUAAUAAAGCGGCAACUUCAGUUACACCUCAGCCUGGGAAUCAACAUAAGCUAUAUGCCUCGGUGCAGCAGCCUCCAAAUAUCGGUAACCAAGGAUUGGUGCAGGGUCCUCCUAGUCACACCGUCUUCGCUGCACAACCGCCCCCACUCCAUUCCAGGUACCCGGUGAGCACGCAGCAGCGGCCGAUGAUUCCAGCACAGAACAACAUCCAGAGAAUGAUGAUGCAACAAAGCCUCCAAAUGAAGCCCGACUCACAGAUGGACCAAGUCCAACACAGCCAGGCGAUUCCAGCUACACCUACAUCUCACAGUUCAGAGGCAGGCAGCCCUGGGCUUUCAGUGCAUGACCCAGCUGCAGUCACAUCGACGUCUAAGCCGAUCGGCUCCCCCAAGGACAAUUUUGCCGGGAACGAAACUUCAGUGCCAUUGUCGUCUAGCCAAAGCAUGCUGCAGAGGCAAAUUUCAGGUGGAGCAUCAUCCAGCCAAGGCAUGCUGCAGAGGCAGAUUUCAGGGGGAACAUCAUCCAGCCAAGGCAUGCUGCAGAGGCAGAUUUCGGGCGGGUUGCUGCCUGUGCAUGGACAAGAGGUGGGCGGCUCGUGGCACCACCAGCAACUGUCUAGGCCGCACCUGCCUCCUCCGCAUCAUCAGCAGCAGCCGCAGCAUCAGCUCCAGCAGAGACCAGUUGGUCCAGGCAGCAUGUAUGCUCCCCCAAACCCAGGGUCAGGUGCUGCGGGCGGCAUGUAUGCUCCCCCGAAUCCAGGGCCGGGCUGAUGGAAUCCCGACACCGGCUGGUCGUAUGCAUGGAGCAUCCCUUGUCUCUGAAAUCCAAAGUUAGUGUACAGGUGUCGGACCGAUGUAUGGAAUGGAAUGGAACGGAACGGAACGAAAGUCGUUGCUGACAGUGGUCCUGAACAAACCGACUUUUGCUGUUUUGUUGUUAGGUGGUAGAUAAGAAGAUGAUUUGGCAAUGCAUUGCCACCCCUCCUUUUUGAGGUUUGGUCGGCUGGUUGCAGUCUAGAUAAGUGAGAUAGAUUGAUAUGAUGAUGGAGGAGGAAGGAGGAGGAGGAGGUGUUUUGUUUUCCGUGUCUCGUCGGAUGGAUGGAUGAUAACCGGAAGGCUGUACAUGCUGCUGCUGCUUAUGCUUGUUGGUUGGUGGUAGAGUCAGAGUGUCUCUUGAGUGACUGUAUAAAUUUGUUGUCGUUUUAACUUAUGACAGUGGUACAACAAGUUGAUUAAAUGCGACAGUGAAUGGUUGAAAGAGUUCAUCGUUGCAUUGGAUCUAUCUAUCUAUCUACUUGUACCUCAUUCGUCCCAGCAAACGGAAAUGAGCUGAGCGGCUGGCUGUUCCAUGCUCCAGUACAGAUAGGCCAUCCAGUUCAGUCGAGAUGCUCAGCGGUGAAAAUGAAUGAUGGAAAGCGAUAUCUGUACAGACAGAUAGAUAGGGGAGCUGGCUGGAUAGAGUCUUUGGCUUGGCAGAUGCGCAGCGGUGAAAGUAAAUCAAGGAAAGGAAAGCGAUAUCUCGUCUCUCGCUAUCUCUCUCCCGAACCCCCACCAAAUUCCACAUCCACCAUUCUUCUGUUGCCCUGAUUGAUUGUUUCUUGUGGACGCCAUGGCCGCCCACGGCAAGCCCAAGCCCAAGCCGCCCGGUGCCCCCGCGCCGCCGCCGCCCCCACCACCGCCGCCGACGGCGGCAGAGGCGAAGAAGGGCUUCAUGCGCCGGAUGUUCCCCUUCCUCCUCGCCGUCAACGCCUUCGUCGGCGCCUACGUGCUCGUCAGGACCUACUACAAGGACUCCCCGGCCAAGACCGCCGACUCUGCUUCCGCCACUGCAACGGCGUCCACAUCGUCUGCCGCCGCCGCCGCCGAGUCCACUGACCCGCCGGUGGCAACGCCCGCCAAGGUGCUCCCGCCGAUCCCCGAGGACGAGCAGCGCCGGGUCUACAAGUGGAUGCUGGAGGAGAAGCGCAAGGUGAGGCCGCGCGACGCCGCCGAGAAGAAGAGGCUCGACGACGACAAGGCCCUGCUCAAGCAGAUCAUCCGCGCCGACACCCUCCCGGUGCUCUGAGACCGGAUGCGUGGAUGGGUGGAUGAAGCUCACCGCCAGAUUGAUCGAUGUUGCUGCUUGCGUCUGUCAUUGCUUUGCCUCAUGUCUCUCUUCUCUGCUAAAGAGAAUGGUUUGCUUGGACUCUUUAGUUAGUUGAUUGUGUCGUGUGGCACUGUUAUUAUCAUCAUCUUAUAUAAGUUAGUACGACGCCGAGAGGCCCAUCUCGAGCUGUUUUAUUUUAGUUGUGUGGAUGCAGACAGGCUGGUCUUGUUGCUUGUGUUGCCCUGUGCUUCUUCAAUAUAAGGAUUUGAUUCGUCUCAAACGAGAUAUUCAACUGAUUGUUUUCUGUGGAUGUG